rnacentral:rRNA from 1 species
UUGGCUCGAUAUAAGUGGGCUUUCUGAUGUUGGUUGAUGCUGGUGUUUCUACUCGAGACACAUGUGCUCGCCAGCUGAUGGGGGUUCAUUUUUUAUUACUUUUUUUCCACCUGUGCACUAUUGUAGAUGUUGGAGAUCGUAUCUCAAGCGUAAGCUUGGUCUGGAGUUUGCGGGCUUCAUUAAGUUGAAGUCGGCAUUCUCUGUUGAUCUUCACGUCUAUUUUUACAUAUACUCUUAAUAAGUUUAGAAGGACUUGAUUGGGCUUUUAAUGCCUAUAAAUCAAUUAUACAACUUUCAGCAACGGAUCUCUUGGCUCUCGCAUCGAUGAACAACGCAACGAAUUGCGAUAAGUAAUGUGAAUUGCAGAAUUCAGUGAAUCAUCGAAUCUUUGAACGCACCUUGCGCUCUUUGGUAUUCCGAACAUCAUGCCUGUUUGAGUGUCAUUAAAUUCUCAACUCAUUUCAUUUGUUUAUCAAGUGAAAUGCAUGUUGGAUGUGGGGGUUGCGGGCAUUCAUUAAGUUGAAGUCUGCUCUCCUGAAAUGCAUUAGCGGGAACUUAUGUUGGACCGCUUCUAUUGGGUGUGAUAAUUAUCUACGCCUANGAAGUGUGAAGACAGUAAUAUACUUUAUGGUGUAUGGCUGCUGCUUCUAAUCGACCAUUCUCUUGGAAUAUUACUCUUGACUUUUGACCUCAAAUCAAGGAGGACUACCCGCUGUACUUUAGCUUAUCAAUUAGCGGAGGAA